rnacentral:rRNA from 1 species
GACGAACGCUGGCGGCGUGCCUAAUACAUGCAAGUCGAGCGAACAGAGAAGGAGCUUGCUCCUUCGACGUUAGCGGCGGACGGGUGAGUAACACGUGGGCAACCUACCUUGUGUUUGGGAUAACUCCGGGAAAACGGGGCUAAUACCGAAGAAUCUGUUUCACCUCAUGGUGAAACACUGAAAGACCGUUUCGGCUGUCGCUAGAGGGAGGGCCGGCGGCGCAUUGGGUAGGUGGUGAGGUAACGGAUAACCAAGGCGACGAUGCGUAGCCGACCUGAGAGGGUGAUCGGCCACACUGGGACUGAGACACGGCCCAGACUCCUACGGGAGGCAGCAGUAGGGAAUCUUCCACAAGGGGCGAAAGCCUGAUGGAGCAACGCCGCGUGAGUGAAGAAGGAUUUCGGUUCGUAAAACUCUGUUGUAAGGGAAGAACAAGUACAGUAGUAACUGGCUGUACCUUGACGGUACCUUAUUAGAAAGCCACGGCUAACUACGUGCCAGCAGCCGCCGUAA